rnacentral:rRNA from 1 species
UAGAGUUUGAUCCUGGCUCAGAACGAACGCUGGCGGCGUGCCUAACACAUGCAAGUCGAGCGAGAAAGUUCCUUCGGGAACGAGUACAGCGGCGCACGGGUGAGUAACACGUAGGUAACCUACCCUCGAGCCCGGAAUAACCCGUCGAAAGAUGGGCUAAUGCCGGAUGGGACCACGGUGGUCACGGCCACCGCGGUGAAAGAUGGCCUCUGUUCACAUGCUAUUACUCGAGGAUGGGCCUGCGCGCCAUUAGCUAGUUGGUGAGGUAACGGCUCACCAAGGCGAUGAUGGCUAGCUGGUCUGAGAGGAUGACCAGCCACACUGGGACUGACACACGGCCCAGACUCCUACGGGAGGCAGCAGUGGGGGAUAUUGCGCAAUGGGCGAAAGCCUGACGCAGCGACGCCGCGUGGGUGAUGAAGGCCUUCGGGUCGUAAAGCCCUGUCGAGGGGAACGAAUCAGUUUGGUCCUAACACGACCAGACCCUGACGGUACCCCUAAAGGAAGCACCGGCUAACUACGUGCCAGCAGCCCCGGUCAA